AUUGAACGCUGGCGGCAGGCCUAACACAUGCAAGUCGAACGGUAACAGGAAACAGCUUGCUGUUUCGCUGACGAGUGGCGGACGGGUGAGUAAUGUCUGGGAAACUGCCUGAUGGAGGGGGAUAACUACUGGAAACGGUAGCUAAUACCGCAUAACGUCGCAAGCCCAAAGAAGGGGACCCUCGGGCCUCUUGCCAUCGGAUGUGCCCAGCUGGGAUUGGCUUGUUGGUGGGGUAACGGCUCACCAAGGCGACGAUCCCUAGCUGGUCUGAGGGGAGGACGGGCGACACUGGAACGUGGACACGGACCUUAGUCCUACGGGAGGCAGCAGAGGGGAAUAUGACACAGUGGGCGGGAGCCUUAUGCAGCCAGGCGGCGUGUAUGGAGAAGGCCUUCGGGUUGUAAAGUACUUUCAGCGGGGAUGAAGGGAGUAAAGUUGAGACCUUGGCUCAUUGACGUUACCCGGUGGAGAAGCACCGGCUAACUCCGUG
rnacentral:rRNA from 1 species